GAACCGGGGAGAACCUUACCUGGUCUUGACAUCCACAGAACUUUCCAGAGAUGGAUUGGUGCCUUCGGGAACUGUGAGACAGGUGCUGCAUGGCUGUCGUCAGCUCGUGUUGUGAAAUGUUGGGUUAAGUCCCGCAACGAGCGCAACCCUUAUCCUUUGUUGCCAGCGGUUCGGCCGGGAACUCAAAGGAGACUGCCAGUGAUAAACUGGAGGAAGGUGGGGAUGACGUCAAGUCAUCAUGGCCCUUACGACCAGGGCUACACACGUGCUACAAUGGCAUAUACAAAGAGAAGCGACCUCGCGAGAGCAAGCGGACCUCAUAAAGUAUGUCGUAGUCCGGAUUGGAGUCUGCAACUCGACUCCAUGAAGUCGGAAUCGCUAGUAAUCGUAGAUCAGAAUGCUACGGUGAAUACGUUCCC
rnacentral:rRNA from 1 species